rnacentral:rRNA from 1 species
GGGGAAUCUUCCGCAAUGGACGAAAGUCUGACGGAGCAACGCCGCGUGAGUGAAGACGGUUUUCGGAUUGUAAAGCUCUGUCUUCCGGGACGAACGUCAUGCUUGUGAAUAAUGAGCGUGAAUGACGGUACCGGAGGAGGAAGCCACGGCUAACUACGUGCCAGCAGCCGCGGUAAUACGUAGGUGGCGAGCGUUGUCCGGAAUUAUUGGGCGUAAAGCGCGCGCAGGCGGGAAUCUAAGUCUGUCUUAAAAGUGCAGGGCUUAACCCUGUGAUGGGACAGAAACUGGAUUUCUUGAGUGCAGGAGAGGACAGUGGAAUUCCCAGUGUAGCGGUGAAAUGCGUAGAUAUUGGGAGGAACACCAGUGGCGAAGGCGACUGUCUGGACUGCAACUGACGCUGAGGCGCGAAAGCAUGGGGAGCAAACA